UAGAAUUGUCUCCCCUAGAAGGACCUUCCUUGCCAAAGGUGACCAUGGGUUGGGCUGUGGUCUUCCUUGCGCUCCUCACUUACUGCACAGGCCUUAAUGGUCAGUCCACUUGGACUCAGCCUCCCUCCAGCUCUGUGUCCCCAGGUGGAACCGUUAUACUCUCCUGCACAGCUGUUGGUAAUACCAUCUACUGGCAUCAACAGAAAGCAGGAGAAGCCCCCUGUUUUGUCCACUGUGAUGGCUGCAGUAACAGGGGAGAAGGGAUCCCAAAUCGGUUCACUGCCACCAGAUCUGGGACUACAGGAUCUUUGACCAUCACCAAUGUGGAUGCUGGAGACGAGGCAGAUUAUUACUGUGCCAGCUGGGGCAGUAAUGUGUUCCACAGUGGUAAAUUCUUAUGGGGAAGUGUGACAGAAACCUCCUCUCUUCAUCUUCAGCCUGAAACAAGACACAAUCUACUUUGA